UCUUCCCCGUGUUUUCUUUCUGCAGCUUCAGCAGAAAGCAAAAAGAAGUGCCCUUUGAAGGUUCUUUGCCUUCUGUUGGGAAGGCAGUCUGUAUAUUUGUGAAAGCCUUGUGGCUUCUUCCGGAGCACAGGGACCAAGCAGCAACAUCACAGCUGUGCAAAAGGGUCAAGUCAGGUAGACCAGCCUCUGGCCUCACGGUGGUCCUCACUGUCUCCCUGACUCCAGUCAUCAGUGUGUGUGUUCCCACUGUUGAUGUAGGCACCAUCUGCUAAGAGUACCUCAGAUUUGCUCAUUUACUUGACUGACCUCCAUUCUGCCAUUGUCCCGCCUUCUAUACCAGGGCAGGGCAGUGCAGCCUAGUGGCUGCUGCUUGCACAAUCUAUAAGCGAAGACAGGGAAACACCCGUGUGUCCCCCCACCCGUCCCGUGCGUUAAUGCCUGCAGUAGGGAAACAGAAUGUCAGGAAGUAAGUUUUGCAUUGACUUAUUGACAUAGUUCCAACUCCUUUUGUAUUUUCCUAAUGUUGGGAAAGUGUGAGAGUGCGGAGGAUCCUGUAGGAUGAGGACACAGGAUCUAGAAGUGCACGCAGAGGUGACGGGCCAACAAUAAAGCAAACCACGUAGGAGCGACUGGAAGGAAGUCUGGAGAGAGGGAAGCAGAAGCCUGCAGGAUGAGGAGUGAUUUCUGCUGCUCGUACAUUUGCAUCUGGAUUCUUCCAAAUAAAAACUCAUCUCAUUAAAAAAGAAAACAAACA
rnacentral:lncRNA from 1 species